UACGUAGGGUGCGAGCGUUGUCCGGAAUUAUUGGGCGUAAAGAGCUUGUAGGCGGUUUGUCGCGUCUGCUGUGAAAAUCCGGGGCUCAACCCCGGACUUGCAGUGGGUACGGGCAGACUAGAGUGUGGUAGGGGGAGACUGGAAUUCCUGGUGUAGCGGUGAAAUGCGCAGAUAUCAGGAGGAACACCGAUGGCGAAGGCAGGUCUCUGGGCCACUACU
rnacentral:rRNA from 1 species